CCUGUCAUCUUCUUCACCCCUCCUUGUCUGCAUCAGCUGCUCUAGGAGCAGACCCUGCCCAGCCCCCUGCCACCUUCUCCUUGCCUUUUCUCCUCCAGCCCGGACCCUCUCUUCCAUCAACACACACAGCCUUGGUUCACUUCCAUCCAAUGAGGAAAUGCCCACAACACCACUCGGCACAGGGCCCGGCAGGUAGGGGCUCAAUAGGUGCGAGCUUCCUUUCCUUUUGCCCGUCAGCUCCCCUGGGCCUGGCCGCGGCCAUGCAGCCGGGUCAUUCGCCUUUAGGCCUGCUGUCAUGGGUGACACUCUUCUCCCUCCUCUCCACCUAGGAAACUCUUUCUCCUCCUUCAGAACUCAACAGAGGUGUCGCUUCAGGCAGUGAGGGGCCCCCACCCCGGCUGCCACAGUGCUCUGCUCACGCUUCUCAGAAAACUUUCCUAGAGGUUCUGAUGCUGUGGGUUUGUUUGGUGUCUCUAGACCCAGCUCCAAAGGGUGCACAGGUGUUCAGUAAGCAUUGAUUGAUUGAAGGAAUGAGUGGGAGCAGUUCCCAGGACUCCUAGAAGAACAUGGGCCAGGCUGGGCCAAACUUGGGUUUCCCUUCCUACCUCUCCAGGUUAGCAAUACUUACCUCCAGGAGAAAACCAAAAGACAAGCAGAAGGUUUCUUGGAUAAAUACUUGGGAAUGGCAUCAGUGAAUCAUAAGGUAGGUAUAUAUUUCACUUUGUAAGAAACUGCUAGUUUUCCAAGAUGGUUGUACCAUUUUAUGCUCCCGCCAACAAUGUAUGAGUUCCAGUUGUUCCAUGUCCUUACCAGUGUUAGGUACUGUUGCCCUUUUUAAGUGUGGCCAUUCCAGUGGGUGUGAAAUGUUAUUGCACAUUUCCUAACACAAAGAUGUUGAGCAAUUUUCAUUUGGUUAUUGGCUACUUGUAAUCUUUUGUGACCUGUCAGGUCAAGUCUUUUGCUCUCUUUCAUUUAUUGGGUUGAUUUUUUUAAAAAAAAUCUUUUUAUUAUUGAUUUGUUGGCAUUCUUUAUAUAUUCUGGAUACCAGCACUUUGUCAGAUGUAUAUAUUGUGAAUAUUUCUUUGCAGACUGGCUUGUCUGUUUUCUUAACAGAGUCUUUGGAUUGCAAAAACAAUUUUUUUUUAUGAAGUCCAAUUGAUUUUUUUGUAAUAGUUUGUGAUUUUAUGACCUGUUUAAGAAAACUUGGCCUUCUGUCAGGUCAUGAAAAUUUCUGUCUCUGUUCCCUUUUAGAAGCUUUAUAGUUUUAGUUUGUGUGUUUAGGUCUGUGAUCCACCUUAAAGAAAUUUUUGAGUAUGAUGUGAGGUAAGGGUGAUUGCUCAUUUUUAAAUAUAUGACUAUCAAAUUGUUCCAGCACCAUGGAAAAUUUAAAAAAACUUUGCUUUACCCAUUGAAUUACUAUGGUGUCUUUGUUGACAAUCAGUUGGCCACACCUGUGUGCGUCUACUUCUGGACUCUUCCCUUGAUCCCAUUGUCCAUUCUUAUGCCAAUACUGUAUGUACUACCUUGAUUGCUGUAGCUUAACUGCAGGUCCUAAAUCAUGUAGUGAAAAUCCUCUAUGGGAUAGCAAGUUCUUGAAAUACCAACUCAUUCCUUCCAGUAUUUAUCCUUCGCGCUUUUCACCACUCAAGCAAUUAUUUGCUGACUGCCAAGGGGAAGUGAGCACAAUCCCAAGACACAGGGAAGGAAUAAAGGGAGACUUUUUGGCUUUGGUUCUGAAAAUCUAAGUCCUUAGGGGAAUAGAGACAUAAAGUUUGGGGAAAACAGCAUGCUAGAGAGCACCACCCCCCAUCCCUACCCUCUACUUCCAGUUAAUAGCACUUCUAAGACUACAGAAAAAUCCCCUAGGUUGUGUAGAAGGAAUUAGAGCAAGUACACACCCUUAAAUCUGCGGUUAGGAUCUCAGGAGCCAUGGAGACCUCAAGGAGGCAUGGGGCAGCCUUGUAGAGCCCCCCAUCUCUGAUGGUCCAGGAACAGCAGAAUGAAUGCUGGACCCUCAAUGUGGCCUGAGGAGAGCUGCACCCGGAAGGGGCUGUGGGUGAGAAUGAUGACCCUCCCAGGAGAGGUUUGGACAGGUGGCCCUGCAGGAAGUCACCCCAGUGCUUUGACUCUCUGUAAAACUCUAGAAAAUCAGUCUUGAUACUAAGAAAAGGGGGAGGGGUCACGAAUCCACGGCAAUUAAUGUUUUGCCACUCUGGUGGCAAAGAUGUUUCAGCUGAGAAGAAAGAAAUGUCUCUUAAACAUCUCUGAGUUUACUGCUGAAGGCUUAUUCUGGCUUUAUAUGGAUCUUCUAACAAACUGUAUUUAAAUGACUAAGUCUAAUGUUAAUAAAAAGUGGGGAGGGGGUAGAAGACCCAUCCUUUCUGAUGGGAGAGGAGCUGGCUGAGAAGGAUCAGGUGCCUGCCUCACUUGUGUUCCAGCCCCUGCCUUUAGGAUCUCAGACUUCAUCAAACAAAUCAUCCUCACAAUAUGUUCUUCUGCGUUCUAGUUUCUCCGUCCUGAAACACCCUAAUAAAGUCCUUACAUGUAAUGCAUCACUCUUGUCUUGAGCAAUCUGAAGGACAUCACGGUGGAUCCCAAGCAACAUGUUGAUAUCCUCACGGAGCCAAGCUCGAGGGUGAGCCCUGUUCCCCACACAGGAGUGAUCGUCUGGCAGCAGAGGCUCAGGGUGAGGACGCCAUCUUGCCCUGGUUGCAAAGGACAUUGAGGUGACGCUGCCUCAGCCUUCACUGUCCUGGCCUUCCUUUCCAUGCCAUCCGUGCCCCGACUCCACCCGUAUCAGGUAAUAUUAUCCACGUUACACAAAUGAGGAAACUGAGGCUUCAGAGGUUUAUAACUUGGGCUCCAUCACCCGACUAGUGAGCGAGGGAGGCAAACUUCGAAUCCAGAUCUGACAGCUGGCUCCACGCUCUCCACUGGAUCAUCCUGCCGCGGAAAGUCUACACCAGCCUGGGGAUUACAGCCUAGAACACCUCAUCUGGGCUGCUAACCUCAGAUAGAGAUCAAAGAGACAUUGUCAUGGGAGAAUGGCUUUUUGAGAUCAGAGCCUCUUAUCAGCUGAAUUGUAUUUCACUCCCCUUCCCCAAAUUCAUAUGUUGAAGUCCUAAUGUGACUGAAUUCGGAGACAGGGUCUUUAAAGAGCUAAUUAAGUUAAAACGAGGUCUUCUGGGCCCUAAUCCCAUGUGACCGGUAUCCUUAUAAGAAGAGACCAGAACACAGCCACAGGGAAGGCCAUGUGAAGACACAGAGAGAAGGCAACCAUAGGGAAAACCAAGGGGAGAGCCUUCAAAACUCCUGAAGAUACCCUUGAUCUUGGACAUCUCUCUCCAGAACUGUGAGAAAAUAAAUAUCUGUGUUUAAGCCAUCCGGUCGGUUACGGCAGCCCUUCAAAUUAACUCAGAGCCCCUUUUAAAAAUCAUCUUUGUGGGGCGCCUGGGUGGCUCAGUUAAGCGUCCAACUUCAGCUUGGGUCAUGAACUCGCGGUUCGUGAGUUUGAGCCCCACGUCGGACUCUGCUGACAG